UAUUACAAUGAAGAGUUUGAUCCUGGCUCAGGAUGAACGCUAGCUACAGGCUUAACACAUGCAAGUCGCGGGGCAGCAUAGGGUUUUAGCAAUAAAAUUCGGAUGGCGACCGGCGCACGGGUGAGUAACACGUAUCCAACCUGCCCUUUACUCGGGGAUAGCCUUGCGAAAGCAAGAUUAAUACCCGAUGGCAUCAACCGCCUGCAUGGGCGGCUGAUUAAAGGAGAAAUUUGGUAAAGGAUGGGGAUGCGUUCCAUUAGGCAGUAGGCGGGGUAACGGCCCACCUAACCGACGAUGGAUAGGGGUUCUGAGAGGAAGGUCCCCCACAUUGGAACUGAGACACGGUCCAAACUCCUACGGGAGGCAGCAGUGAGGAAUAUUGGUCAAUGGGCGUGAGCCUGAACCAGCCAAGUAGCGUGGAGGAAGACGGCCCUACGGGUUGUAAACUCCUUUUGUACGGGAAUAACGGCGUCCACGUGUGGUCGUGUGCAUGUACCGUACGAAUAAGCAUCGGCUAACUCCGUGCCAGCAGCCGCGGUAAUACGGAGGAUGCGAGCGUUAUCCGGAUUUAUUGGGUUUAAAGGGAGCGUAGAUGGGCUGUUAAGUCAGUUGUGAAAGUCAGCGGCUCAACCGUUGAACUGCAAUUGAAACUGGUAGCCUUGAGUGCGUUUGCGGUGGAUGGAAUUCGUGGUGUAGCGGUGAAAUGCUUAGAUAUCACGAAGAACUCCGAUUGCGAAGGCAGUCCACCAAGCCGCAACUGACAUUGAAGCUCGAAAGCGUGGGUAUCAAACAGGAUUAGAUACCCUGGUAGUCCACGCGGUAAACGAUGAAUACUCGCUGUCGGCGAUAGAGUGUCGGCGGCCAAGCGAAAGCAUUAAGUAUUCCACCUGGGGAGUACGCCGGCAACGGUGAAACUCAAAGGAAUUGACGGGGGCCCGCACAAGCGGAGGAACAUGUGGUUUAAUUCGAUGAUACGCGAGGAACCUUACCCGGGCUUGAACUGCGGAUGCAUUGUGUGGAAACACACAAGUGAGCAAUCACAUCCGUGGAGGUGCUGCAUGGUUGUCGUCAGCUCGUGCCGUGAGGUGUCGGCUUAAGUGCCAUAACGAGCGCAACCCUUGCCGCCAGUUACAAACAGGCAAAGCUGUGGACUCUGGCGGGACUGCCAUCGUAAGAUGCGAGGAAGGUGGGGAUGACGUCAAAUCAGCACGGCCCUUACGUCCGGGGCUACACACGUGUUACAAUGGGGGGUACAGAAGGCCGCUUCACGGCGACGUGUGGCCAAUCCCGAAAGCCCCUCCCAGUUCGGACUGGAGCCUGCAACCCGGCUCCACGAAGCUGGAUUCGCUAGUAAUCGCGCAUCAGCCAUGGCGCGGUGAAUACGUUCCCGGGCCUUGUACACACCGCCCGUCAAGCCAUGGGAGCCGGGGGUGCCUGAAGUACGUAACCGCGAGGAUCGUCCUAGGGUAAAACCGGUGACUGGGGCUAAGUCGUAACAAGGUAGCCGUACCGGAAGGUGCGGCUGGAACACCUCCUUUCU
rnacentral:rRNA from 1 species